rnacentral:rRNA from 1 species
AGCAUAUCAAUAGCCGGAGG